rnacentral:rRNA from 1 species
AGUGGGGGAUAACGUAGCGAAAGUUACGCUAAUACCGCAUAUGCCCUGAGGGGGAAAGGGGGGGAUCGCAAGACCUCUCGCUUUCGGAGUGGCCGAUAUCGGAUUAGCUAGUAGGUGAGGUAAAGGCUCACCUAGGCGACGAUCCGUAGCUGGUCUGAGAGGACGACCAGCCACACUGGGACUGAGACACGGCCCAGACUCCUACGGGAGGCAGCAGUGGGGAAUUUUGGACAAUGGGCGCAAGCCUGAUCCAGCCAUGCCGCGUGAGUGAAGAAGGCCUUCGGGUUGUAAAGCUCUUUCAGCUGGAAAGAAAUCAUAUCUACUAAUACUAGGUGUGGAUGACGGUACCAGCAGAAGAAGCACCGGCUAACUACGUGCCAGCAGCCGCGGUAAUACGUAGGGUGCGAGCGUUAAUCGGAAUUACUGGGCGUAAAGCGUGCGCAGGCGGCUUUUUAAGCCAGAUGUGAAAUCCCCGGGCUUAACCUGGGAACUGCAUUUGGAACUGGAAGGCUAGAGUGUAGAAGAGGGGGGUAGAAUUCCA